rnacentral:tRNA from 1 species
CUCCAAGAAGCUUCAACUUCAGAGCAAUAAAAUUUUAACCUAUAAUCUGGUGCAUAAUAACUACCCUUGAAGA